AGCGAACGCUGGCGGCGUGCCUAACACAUGCAAGUCGAACGUGAAAGGGAGCAAUCCUGAGUAAAGUGGCGUACGGGUGAGUAACACGUAGGUAAUCUACCCCAGAGUCUGGAAUAACCUGCCGAAAGGCGGGCUAAUACUGGAUAGAGCGACGGAAUCCGCAAUUGGGUUUUUCGGAAAGGGAGCUUGUAAGGGCCCUCGCUUUGGGAUGAGCCUGCGUCUCAUUAGCUAGUUGGAAGGUAAUGGCUUACCAAGGCUUUGAUGGGUAGCUGGUCUGAGGAGGAUGAUCAGCCACACUGGAACUGAACACGGUCCAGACUCCUACGGGAGGCAGCA
rnacentral:rRNA from 1 species